AUAUUCAUAAUUUUUAUAAUAAUUGUUUUUUUUAGAAUUAAAAAUUACGUUGUGUAUAAUUACAAUUUACUCUAUUGUUUGACAUAAGAAAUUAUAAUGUAAUUACACUCUAUUUAUCACUAAAACACGUCCAGAGAAUUAGACUCUGGUGUUCAAACACACUCUAAUUGUUACAAGUUAUAUAAAAAUAAAAGGGAUAAAUAUUAAAAC
rnacentral:lncRNA from 1 species